UACAGAGACUGCAAGCGUUAUUCGGAUUCACUGGGCGUAAAGGGUGCGCAGGCGGCCGUGUGUGUUAGAUGUGAAAUCCCGGGGCUCAACCCCGGAACUGCGUCUAAAACUACAUGGCUAGAGUAUUGGAGAGGGUAACGGAAUUCACGGUGUAGCAGUGAAAUGCGUAGAUAUCGUGAGGAACACCAGAGGCGAAGGCGGUUACCUGGACAAUUACUGACGCUCAGGCACGAAAGCGAAGGUAGCAAACGGG
rnacentral:rRNA from 1 species